rnacentral:lncRNA from 1 species
CUCUCCUUAGCCGCUUGUGCCGCCAUCAGAGGGGCCUGUCUCGCUCCCCCAGACACAGAGCCUCUGUUUUCCUCACUCCGGGUCUGGAGUCCCCUGCUUAACAGCUUGGAUUGAAGAGGCUUGUCUGGGGGGACUGAGACCUUGCAGAUCAUUCCAGGAGCCGCCUCCAUCCAAGGCCAACAGCUUCAUCAGGCCGCAGGCCUGGGAGAAGGUGGGACUGCAGUUGCCCAACAUCCUGUGGCUGCCCACACGGACACCCCAUGUGCACCCCAGGGCUGAGAGCAGGGGGAGCCAUCUCCCUGUGUGUGGGACACUGCCUGCUGGGUGUUCCGUUCCAGCCCCUCUAGAAUGCAUGCUUGAAUGGCCAGUGAGGCUGGGGGAGGGACCGAGAGGGAGCCCUCACCCCCAGCAGCACAGAGCAGGAGCUGGACGGUGGGGCUGGGGGUGAGGCCAGCUGAGAGGGGUCAGGUCCUGCCACGGGAGGGGGACUUUUAAAGUUCCUCCAUGGCCCUGGAACCCUGGAGCCUCAGGAGUGGCAGGGGAGCUUCUCCGGAGUGUAGUGCCCAGACUGGGAGAGAUGUGCCUCUGUGGGCAUCUUGAAGGGAAAUGAGAAGCGGAGCUGCCCCUGCACCUGCGCUGGGAGCUGCCUGCCUCCUGCUUGUCCUGGCCAUGUGCGAACCUCAGCGUGGAAGAGGGACUCUCGCACUGCUCCCUGCGCGGCUCAGCUGGCCUCCUGGGAAGCCACAAGAAACUAAUCCAUGGGGAUGGCCAGGCCUGAUUAGCUGGGGUGGGGCUGGAGGCUCCUCUACAGAGAUGAUGCUUACACUGAGACCUGAAGGAGAAGGAGGAGGUGGCUGCUCACGCAACCCACAGGAAAGUGUUCCAGGAUCAAGAACAGCAGGUGCAAAGGCCCCGUGAUGGAAAGGAUUGGUGCACUAGGAGAACAAAGGCAGCCUGGACACCAGGUUUGGUCUACCUCGUCCACACCCGCCUGCUUCUGUCCCGCCUUAAGCGGAUCCGUGAUGUCCCGUCAUUAGACCUUCAAUUUCAGCACAGGACUGAAUAACUAACCUUCAAAAAGUUUGCAGUAGCCUUGUCACUCCUAAAAAUAACAAAUAAUUCCUUAAACAUCAUUCAACAUCCAAUCAGUGUUUGCACACUUUUUUUACAGCUCUGCAUGUGUGUCACAAGCUAAACAAGGCCCGUGAGUGGAUGUGCUUCUUUUUGGGGUUGGGGAGAGACGGUGUCUCACUCUGUUGCCCAGGCUGGAUUGCAGUGGCAAGAUCUUGGCUCAUUGUGUCUCCCGGGUUCAAGCGAUUCUUCUGCCUCAGACUCUUGAGUAGCUGGGACUACAGGCAGUGCCACCACGCC